rnacentral:rRNA from 1 species
AAUUACCCAAUCCUGACACAGGGAGGUAGUGACAAGAAAUAACAAUACAGGGCUUAAAGUCUUGUAAUUGGAAUGAUGAGAAUCUAAACCCUUCCCAGAGUAUCAAUUGGAGGGCAAGUCUGGUGCCAGCAGCCGCGGUAAUUCCAGCUCCAAUAGCGUAUAUUAAAGUUGUUGCAGUUAAGAAGCUCGUAGUUGAAUUUCUGCCUUGUCGUUAAAUUCGCUUCCGAGCGUUUUUUUAUUGACUUGGCAUCUUCUGGAUUUGGUUCCCUUCGGGGUUCUAUUUUCCGGGAUUUACUUUGAGAAAACUAGAGUGUUUCAAACAGGCAUUUGCCUUGAAUACUACAGCAUGGAAUAAUGAAGUAGGACUUUGGUUCUAUUUUGUUGGUUAUUGAGCCAGAGUAAUGGUUAAUAGGAGCAGUUGGGGGCAUUCGUAUUUAA